rnacentral:rRNA from 1 species
GGGAACUGAAACAUCUAAGUACCCUGAGGAAAAGAAAUCAACCGAGAUUCCCUUAGUAGUGGCGAGCGAACGGGGACUAGCCCUUAAGUGGCUUUGAGAUUAGCGGAACGCUCUGGAAAGUGCGGCCAUAGUGGGUGAUAGCCCUGUACGCGAAAAUCUCUUAGUCAUGAAAUCGAGUAGGACGGAGCACGAGAAACUUUGUCUGAAUAUGGGGGGACCAUCCUCCAAGGCUAAAUACUACUGACUGACCGAUAGUGAACUAGUACCGUGAGGGAAAGGCGAAAAGAACCCCGGGAGGGGAGUGAAAUAGAUCCUGAAACCGCAUGCAUACAAGCAGUGGGAGCCGACUUGUUCGGUGACUGCGUACCUUUUGUAUAA